CGAGUGUUGCGCUAUGGAAAAAUCGAUGGGGAUACUGUAAUAAUGUGAGGGGUGCUUUAUGGAAACAGGUGCUGUCCAGUUAUUGAAAACAUGAUCUAGCCGAAAGGGUCGCCAAGGGAUGAAAGAAGACAUACGUUGAGUGCUGACACCCCAUGAUGGCCAGAAGGGAUGGGUGCAUUCCAGAAUGUUAUUAAGGGGAGAGAUGGGCCUGCUGUUCUCUACUUAACAGGCAUCUAUCUGUACAAGGGCUGGAUGCCUUGGGAGGCCAAUGGAGAUUCAGACACAGCCCUGACCAUAACUUCCCCUCGAAACUGGUUUCAGACGGUGUUUUAGAGUAUCAAUAACAUAUCUAGCACCAUUUGAAAUCAGUGUUCUUGGUGUAAGGAGGACACCAUUUAAAGCAGGAAGGAUGAAUGCAUACAGUAGGCCUAAGGCAGUCUCAUCAUUUCGCACACAUUUGGCUAGGUGGUACUGGUGGGGGUUAACAUUAUUUGUUGACGGGAUCGCAUGACAAUAAAAACAUUCUAUUCCAUGUCCAAUUA